AAUACCGUCUUCACCUCCCCAAUCCCCAAACCGGGCUCUCUCUCUCUCUCUCUCUCAGCACUCAAAGCUUCCAUCUCUGAGAGAAAUCUAAAGCUUUCUCCACUCCUAUCCAUCUCUUCGACCACAAAGAAAAAAACAAAGAGAAAUAGAAAAAAAGGGAGAUCAAAGAACUCGUCCACCAAGAAUCAGCGGCAAGUGGAGGGAGGGGACGGAAAAAAAAAAAAGCGAAUAAAAUCGGAGUGCUCCCUUUCGGCCUUUCUGGAGAUAAAUUUCUUCGAGCGCUCUAGGUUUUUUUUGCCCCUCUACUCCCUUAUCUUUCGUCCCCUUUAUACCUCGUUUGCUCGUACGGGUCGCUGCUGCUCUCUCUCCGUCCAAACCUCCCCGUCUCCAUCUGAAGGUAGAAGGGUGAGAUCUUUCUUUGUUGUUGGAAGCCCAAUGCCACCUAGAGGGAAGAGUGGCGAUCCUUGAUCGGUUUCUUCUGAUUGUGUUCUCGUGGCUUUGGAUUUAGAGAUGGGCAGUGAUCAAGAUGGGUGUUUGAAGGGGAUCGAUGUGUCAGCUGGGGGGCUGGUUUGGAUCCGUCGUCGGAAUGGAUCGUGGUGGCCUGGCCGCAUACUUGGUCGGGAUGAGCUGCCGGCGAAAUGCUUGCUUCCACCGAGAUCCGGAACUCCCAUCAAGCUUCUUGGAAGGGAAGAUGGGAGCAUGGACUGGUAUAACCUUGAAAAAUCCAAGCGUGUGAAACCGUUUCGCUGUGGGGAGUAUGAUGAGUGCAUUGAAAGGGCCAGGGCUUCUGCAGUUUGUUCUAAAAAAAAGCCGGCCAAUGCAGGAAAAUAUGUUCGCAGGGAAGAUGCUAUCCUGCAUGCUCUUGAGCUUGAAAAGGCUCACUUCUCUAACAGAAAUCAGAUGAGCUCAGGGAUGAAUCACUCUGUGGCUAAAACAAAUAAUUGUUUGGUUAUCGAAUCAAAAAACAUGCACACUCUUAACAAACAGCCAGGUUAUGUUGCCAGAAAACGGAGUGUUCUUGAUGAAAACUCUGCGCAGGAGUUAUCUAAAUCUGUGUUGUCAUUUGAACAACCAAAUAAACCAAUGGCCAGUGACAUGCGAUAUAUGCUGAAAAAGAGAUGGAGGACCCCAAAUGAUUCUGAGGAUGAUGCCACUGAAGGAAUAAAACGUAUGAGAGAUCUUCAGGAAAUAGGAUUGGAGACAGUAUCUAAAAGAAAGCCUAAUAUUCGUUUUCAUGCAAAAGAGUUCGACGAGCUAGCUUUUGCUGACAAUGCUUCUCUCAGCGAAUCAAACACUGAUAAUGGUUUUUCUAGUGUAUGCCAUAUAAAUGGCAGCAAAGAUUCUUGCUCAUCUCUGAAAAAAAAACGAUCUCAUGUGGUCCUAUCAUCUGAAAAUUUGAGGAAGAAAAACCAUCAUCAUCCACAAACCAAGGUUUCCAAGGGUUCAAGGAUUAUAACUCCAUCCUAUUGCCAUUGGGGUGCUGGCUUCACAGGAUGGUCAUCUCUCCUGGGAGAGACACAAAACAAAUUAGGGUUUUUUAGAUCUACUGCAAGGAAGGGAGAGUUUUCAGCGGUCAAUGAUAACAGCCCAAACUGUUCAGGCACUUCAUGUGAGGAGGCUUUGUUCGAUGAUUGUGAGAAGACUUGUAACAUGGUCAAUGGCGCCUAUCUUCACUCUGAAAUUAAGGACAGUGAACUUUCAAGCAUGCUAGAAUUCAUCGAUGAUGACUGGUCUGAUGGCCUUAUUGAUGUUCCUCUUCUCAUGGAAGACAACAUUGGUGGAGAUUAUCGACAGACAUUUGAAUCUUAUGGAUCCAGAAACCUUCAAAUUCAUGCAGCAAAUAAGCAAUAUAAUCAAAGCAGUCGGGCUAGGGUAAUUUCACGGUUUAGUGAAGGACUUGGUGAAAGUGGCUUUACUGAAUCUGGAACUCAGGUUAAUCAUGUCAGACAGAGGAUAGACAAGAGGAUCUCAGAACGGCAUCCAAAUGGGAAAAAGAAUUUGAAAUAUCUAAGGCUGAGCAGAAACACAGAUUCAGAAAGUUUUGGUGACAGGGCUGAUCGGUCCGAGAAUUCCUUGAAGGAUACAAUGCACAAGGAUAGGUUGUUUGUGUUUUCUGAAACUAAAAUUGGCUACAAUUCUUGUGGCGAGUCCCUGAAUCAUGUGCAGUUCGUGAAAUGCGAGCCAGUUUCAGAUGUAGGUGAUGUUCCUCAAGCUCAAGCUUCCAAAUUUACCAAAUUGUCUUGCAUGAAUGAUGUGGGAUCAAGUUUUGGUAGGGAACUAGAAGCUGCCCGGUCAGUUGAAGCUGGAAACAAGCUCUCCAACUCAUUAUCAUAUGCAAGAGGUAGAGGUUCAGCGAACAUGGUUGAUGUGCCCAUCUCCACUAUUCCACUCCAACAAUUAUUUGCAAACUACCAAGUUCAUCUCCCAGCUUUCUCCAAGCACCAGGUCCCAAAGCCAAGUAGAAGCAUGUCGAUGGAUUCUCUUCUAUUUGAUGUUGAGUUGAAUGUUCAAGCAAGUUACCAGGGUCCACACAUCCCUCUUGUUUCUUUCAUGAGUAAAUUGAACGGUAAGGCCAUUGUAGGUCACCCUAUCUCUGUAGAGGUUCUUCAAGAUGGUGCUGCUGCUGCUCUGGUGCCUAGAAAUGUCUGGUGCGCACCUAUAAGCAACAUUGACCAUUCACUCAAGAAUAGAAUCAAUAUUAUUGGUAAAUCGCAGCCGAAGGAAUCACAUCUCAAUAUUCAAGGGAAGAAAGCUGAUCAUACAAAGGUCAAGUCUCCUUUGAUGAAAAAGAAGUCUUCAAAGAAUAAGAGGUCAGGGUUCUCUCCUAGAAAGAUUCGCAGGCUAUCAUCAAUUGCUGUUGAUCGGAAAGACAAGAAAGAAGAGAGACAGCCAAUGGUGGAAAAGAUCAAGGGACCUGCUGUUGCAUGCGUACCUCUCAGACUUGUUUUCAGUAGGAUUAAUGAAGCAUUGAGCUGUUCAGCACGACCGGCAAAUAUUAGCUAACACUGAGUAGACUAUAACAACUCUUCUCCUUGAAACUUGCUGAAGUGAUGAAUUGGUGCCAUUGCCUGCUCAGUACACCGCAGUUGCUGACAUUGAGCGCUAUUGCAUGUCAUGGUGAUCGCACCCUCCCAGGCCACACCACGAGGGAAGGGACAACAGUGCUGAGCUCCCAUCGCCGUGCAUGUCACGUUCGCUUCACGCUUGGUGUUUGUGUUGCUGCAGGUCAUCGCAGGUUAAUUGUUAUUUCAUGCUGUUUAUUCCAAGCUCUUUCAAGGUUGAGAGAUCACCACACGAGAAUUUUACGCAAAUUCGGCUAUAUAAUGCAACUCUUCAAUUAUAUUUAGUUUAUUUGUUUUCUUUUUUUGGUUAAGUGAUAACCCAUAAGCAGUCAUGUAAAGAGACAGAAAAAAAAGAGGCACGUCUACAAAUGUCUGUCCUUGCUGAACAAAAGGAGAUGUAAUGGGAUUUUGCAUAAAAUAUCUAUUCAAUAUGUUGAUUUUGUUAGCAAUGAUCAGAUUCAAUUUUUUUUCUUUAUUUCAGAGGUUGAUACAUAUUCAAUUUUUUUUUUCUUUAUUUCAGAGGACGAUACAUUUGUAAUUUUGUUUCUGGUUCCAUGUA